rfam:Mycobacterium sp. Root135 contig_7, whole genome shotgun sequence.
UCGGUUCCGGUUCACGUUUGAGAUCAGGUCAGGAUCUCGGACGACCCGGCGGCC